CAGCCAUCAUUUAAAGAAAGCGUAAUAGCUCACUGGUCGAGUCGGCCUGCGCGGAAGAUGUAACGGGGCUAAACCAUGCACCGAAGCUGCGGCAGCGACGCUGAUGCGUUGUUGGGUAGGGGAGCGUUCUGUAAGCCUGCGAAGGUGGCCUGUGAGGGUUGCUGGAGGUAUCAGAAGUGCGAAUGCUGACAUAAGUAACGAUAAAGCGGGUGAAAAGCCCGCUCGCCGGAAGACCAAGGGUUCCUGUCCAACGUUAAUCGGGGCAGGGUGAGUCGACCCCUAAGGCGAGGCCGAAAGGCGUAGUCGAUGGGAAACGGGUUAAUAUUCCCGUACUUGGUGUUACUGCGAAGGGGGGACGGAGAAGGCUAUGUUGGCCGGGCGACGGUUGUCCCGGUUUAAGCGUGUAGGUGUGUGUUCCAGGUAAAUCCGGUUCACUUUAACACUGAGGCGUGACGACGAGGCACUACGGUGCUGAAGCAACAAAUGCCCUGCUUCCAGGAAAAGCCUCUAAGCAUCAGGUAACAUCAAAUCGUACCCCAAACCGACACAGGUG
rnacentral:rRNA from 1 species